rnacentral:rRNA from 1 species
CCUACGGGUGGCAGCAGUGGGGAAUAUUGCUCAAUGGGCGCAAGCCUGACGCAGCGAAGCCGCGUGAGGGAUGACGGCUUUAGGAUCGUAAACCUCUUUCAGUAGGGAAGUAAGCGCAGGGCGCCAAUCAUCUAUGCGUUGACGUUACCUCCAAGGGAAGGCCCAGCGAACUCCGUCCCAGCAGCCGCGGUAAUACGGAGGACGCGAGUGUUAAUCGGAAUUACUGGGCGUAAAGCGAGCGUAGGCUGUUGUGUAAGUUGGUGGUGAAAUCCCACGGCUCAACCGUGGAACCGCAGUUGUUACUGGGCGACUUGAAUCCGGUAGAGGGAGGCGGAAUUCGAGGUGUAGGAGUGAAAUGCUUAGAUAGCUGGAGGAACAUCGGUGGCGAAGGCAGCCACCUGGACCGGUACUGACGCUGAGGCGCGAAAGCGUGGGGAGCAAACAGGAUUAGAUACCCUUGUAGUC